rnacentral:rRNA from 1 species
CAAAGGAAUUGACGGGGACCCGCACAAGCGGUGGAGCAUGUGGUUUAAUUCGAUGCAACGCGAAGAACCUUACCUGGUCUUGACAUCCCAGGAAUCCUGCAGAGAUGCGGGAGUGCCUUCGGGAACCUGGAGACAGGUGCUGCAUGGCUGUCGUCAGCUCGUGUCGUGAGAUGUUCGGUUAAGUCCGCUAACGAGCGCAACCCUCGCUGUAUGUUACAUGUGUCAUACAGGACCGCCGGUAUCAAGCCGGAGGAAGGUGGGGAUGACGUCAAGUCCGCAUGGCCUUUAUGUCCGGGGCUACACACACGCUACAAUGGUCGGUACAAUGGGUUGCUAAGCCGCGAGGUGGAGCCAAUCCCCAAAGCCGGCCUCAGUUCAGAUUGCAGGCUGCAACUCGCCUGCAUGAAGCUGGAGUUGCUAGUAAACGCGCGUCAGCUAUAGUGCGUUGAAUACGUUCUCGGGCCUU